rnacentral:rRNA from 1 species
GGGGAAUAUUGGACAAUAGGCGCAAGCCUGAUCCAGCCAUGCCGCGUGAGUGAUGAAGGCCUUAGGGUUGUAAAGCUCUUUCAGUAGGGAAGAUAAUGACGGUACCUAUAGAAGAAGCCCCGGCUAACUUCGUGCCAGCAGCCGCGGUAAUACGAAGGGGGCUAGCGUUGUUCGGAUUUACUGGGCGUAAAGCGCACGUAGGCGGAUUGGUCAGUUAGAGGUGAAAUCCUGGAGCUCAACUCCAGAACUGCCUUUAAUACUGCCAGUCUCGAGUCCGGAAGAGGUGAGUGGAACUCCUAGUGUAGAGGUGGAAUUCGUAGAUAUUAGGAAGAACACCAGUGGCGAAGGCGGCUCACUGGUCCGGUACUGACGCUGAGGUGCGAAAGCGUGGGGAGCAAAC